CUCGCGAGAUUUCCUGUUUGGCAUGUGCGCGAACAGAACAGCCAUUUCGUGAUGAUUCGAUGUAGCAGCCGAGUGCCGUGUCGUCGUGUUGGCAUCGGGGAGAUUUAUUUUGAAGUUUUGCUGUCUUCCUGGAUGAGCUCGGAUCGAGUGUGAUCCACGUGAACCUCGUGUCUGGUGAUAGUGGAAACUUCCAGUAAGAGAUGGUGAUGUACCUCAGGCUUAGCCAAGACCAAGGCCAGACAUGCCCCCUGUGCUGCAGGAUAGAGCUGAAUGUGCCAGCGCUGGACAGGUGACAGGUUUGGGGCUGAGCAGCUAGGCCCUGACAGAGCUGCUGCAUCUUCUGAGAAGUGAACAUCAACAGUGAUGUGAACACAAUCCAGACCCUGGUGUUUCUCUUCUGUCUGUUCAUCACACAGAGUGGUCUCCAGAGUGUUUGACAUGUGCCUCAUUCCACUGUCCACCGCAUUAUCCUCCGAGUGUCUGAGGAGCAGCCGGACAUUCACCAAGAGAUUGACCUCCUGAAGACCCCAGAACACAUGGAGACAGGGCUCAAAAAGUGAUGUUUUUCUGAUGUUAAACCCAAGCUUACUACUCUUUUAUUUACACAUGUGAAUAUGCAAAUUAAAAAAAUUACAGAAAGUACUCAGGCUUAUAAAAUAAAAUAAACUACAGAAAUUAGGUUGUUUCACUGACAAUGCAACAUUUAAAAAUAGAUCGUAAGUUAUGACUAUAACUAUGGAUCUAUGAGACCGAAUGAUGACCGUCACCAAGGUCUUACCUUGAAUGACGCCAUUCCGCCAGCUCUCCUCGAGACCUAAUGUAAACAAUGUCAGGUGACUGACCCC